rnacentral:snoRNA from 1 species
UCCUUCUCCCGGAUGAUUCCACGAAAAUCAAGCAUAGUUCAAUCAGAUUCACAUCAUGAUCGACACAAUUCCAUCUAUAGUCUUUCGCUCCUAUCUGAGAUCAUCU